CUUGGUCAUUUAGAGGAAGUAAAAGUCGUAACAAGGUUUCCGUAGGUGAACCUGCGGAAGGAUCAUUACAAGUGAGGCUACCGAACGUUGGAAACAGCGGUUAGGAGCUUACACCCACCCGUGUUUACAUACUAUUGUUGCUUUGGCGGGCCGUGGCCUCCACUGCGGGCUCUGCUCGUGUGUGCCCGCCAGAGAACCAAACUCUGAAUGUUAGUGAUGUCUGAGUACUAUCUAAUAGUUAAAACUUUCAACAACGGAUCUCUUGGUUCUGGCAUCGAUGAAGAACGCAGCGAAAUGCGAUAAGUAAUGUGAAUUGCAGGAUUCAGUGAAUCAUCGAAUCUUUGAACGCACAUUGCGCCCUGUGGUAUUCCGCAGGGCAUGCCUGUUCGAGCGUCAUUUAACCACUCACGCCUAGCGUGGUAUUGGGGCACGCGGUCUCCGCGGCCCUCAAAAUCAGUGGCGGCGCCGGUGGGCUCUAAGCGUAGUACAUACUCCCGCUAUAGAGUUCCCCCCGGUGGCUCGCCAGAACCCCCAAUUUUUUACAGGUUGACCUCGGAUCAGGUAGGGAUACCCGCUGAACUUAAGCAUAUCAAUAAGCGGAGGA
rnacentral:rRNA from 1 species